GUGGCUCAAAAACAUCCGCUUCUGAGAGCCCCACGCCGCUCCGGGUGUCACCUCUCAGAGGAGGGAGCGCCUCCCCCUUGCCUGUGGCCUAGGGAGGCUGGGCUCCCUGGCGCGCCUCGGUGGGAGCCCUCAGGCCCGGAAGGUGGGCGGAACCGAGGCGGCAGGGUCAGCUCCGGGCGGGUCGUGGAUGAGUGUGAACUCUCCUAAUAAGAGGAGCAGUGCCGCCCCACACGUUACACAGAUAUUCUAAUCAUUGCAUCCUGGUGGAGGAUGGAGGGACUCCCACUGCACUGCUGAGACAGGACAGAGCCCCUGGAGGAAGCCCACCAGCUGCUGCACUGCAGGAUCUUCUCAGAGAACCAACAAUGUCCAAAGCCCUCAACUGCCCUAAACGGUACAAGACACUGGAAAACUACUUUGAACUGGUUUGUAUGUUGGAGUAAAUAAUUCGUGAGAGAAGAAUUACUUGAAAUUUGGCAGCUUGCGCUCACCCAAAGGCAUGUGAUGUGAUUGCAGCUGUGUUCCCCAGAGGCAAAGCACUAUUGUGUUUGGGCUGCAGAGGGCGGAGCAAAGAGUCCCAGGGUCCAGAGGUUAAUUCCUCUGGUGGAGUUUGGGAGGACAAGAGAGGCGGCAGCUGACUGGGGCAGAGAAGCUUGAGAGAAACCACACCUGACUAAGCCCGCAGGACAGGCAAUAAAAUGACCAUUUCUUAUCCGUGGGCUGUAUCAAUCCAUGAGGUGAGACAAAACUUUUCAGAACACUGAUGUAAAAAUGAGGUCUUGGGUGGUCAUUUAUGGUUCAAGUAGCAGUUUAUAUAUUUAUUAUAAUUAUACACAACCUUGACAAUCUAUAUUGCCAUUCAAAAAUAAAUUGAAGUAUUGUCAAUUUGCACAUGAUCUGUCACUAAUAAGAAUCCCAUUUACAUACAUAGUAAACAUUUUGCAUACUUAAAACACUGCUUUAAAUUCUAACACUCCCCUCUCUGCCCUCCCCCCCCAUCCUGUGGAGAUAUGUUUGGACUAUGUAAACGAACUUUUCCAACUAUGCAACAUUCAGGGACUACCACCUUUUUUAUUUAUUAAACUAUUUCAGCACAUCGUAGAGGUGGCCAGUGAGUAUAGCUC